rnacentral:rRNA from 1 species
UGGGGAAUAUUGGACAAUGGGCGAAAGCCUGAUCCAGCCAUGCCGCGUGUGUGAAGAAGGUCUUCGGAUCGUAAAGCACUUUAAGUUGGGAGGAAGGGCAGUAAGCGAAUACCUUGCUGUUUUGACGUUACCGACAGAAUAAGCACCGGCUAACUCUGUGCCAGCAGCCGCGGUAAUACAGAGGGUGCAAGCGUUAAUCGGAAUUACUGGGCGUAAAGCGCGCGUAGGUGGUUCGUUAAGUUGAAUGUGAAAGCCCCGGGCUCAACCUGGGAACUGCAUCCAAAACUGGCGGGCUAGAGUAGGGCAGAGGGUGGUGGAAUUUCCUGUGUAGCGGUGAAAUGCGUAGAUAUAGGAAGGAACACCAGUGGCGAAGGCGACCACCUGGGCUCAUACUGACACUGAGGUGCGAAAGCGUGGGGAGCAAACAGG